GGGGGAUUGGUAAUAGGUGGAUGUUACGCUAAAUCGGUCAGGUUCGAAAGAAAGCAGCCGCACCGUAAAUUUUUCAGGUUGUUAUUCAGUUCCCCGCU
rnacentral:SRP_RNA from 1 species